GCAAGUCGAGCGGAAACGAUUCUAGCUUGCUAGAAGGCGUCGAGCGGCGGACGGGUGAGUAACGCGUAGGAAUCUACCGAGUAGUGGGGGACAACCAGUGGAAACGCUGGCUAAUACCGCAUACGCCCUACGGGGGAAAGCAGGGGAUCUUCGGACCUUGCGCUAUUCGAUGAGCCUGCGUGAGAUUAGCUUGUUGGUGAGGUAAUGGCUCACCAAGGCGACGAUCUCUAGCUGGUCUGAGAGGAUGAUC
rnacentral:rRNA from 1 species